rnacentral:tRNA from 1 species
GGGACAUUAACUCAGUUGGGAGAGUGUUAGCUCGACAAGCUAAAAGUCACAGGUUCAAGUCCUGUAUGUCCCACCA